CAGGAGGAGGCAGGGUUACUCUGGUGAGUGAUAUGGGGGCAGGCCAACCCCUGAAGGCUACCCCCUGGCCUGCCGCCAGGCCCCGCCCCUGUGCCAGUGCAGCCAGGGAGCCGAGCAGAGCAGGGAAGGAACGUUCGGAUGCUCACAGGGACGGUGCGCAGAGCAGAGAGGCCUGGCUCAGGAGGGAGGCUGCUGUUCAGACCAACUGGCCUCUGCUCAGGAAGGCCACAUGGUUUCAGUUUUCAAAGAAGAAGAAAUUCAGCUUGCCUGUUUUUUUCUUUUGAGAAGCUACCUGAUUUCUAAGUGUUCCUCUAAUUCAUUUACUUAAAAAAAAAAAUCAUACGAACCAAAUAAAUGUAUGGGCCAUGUUCAUGACUCCUGGACUAAGGGAGGAAAUAUUCAAACCUGUUCUCAGCAGUAAAACCCCUGGUGGACACCCACCUCAUCAUCAAAAGCCGCAAGCACACACCUCUCUGACCUGGGCUUCACACCACCCGGCUGGCAGGGCUGGUGGGGGCCCCAUGCAGCCCCUCCAGCGCAAGGCCGGCAGGGCAAUGGAGACAGGCUCCGGGAGCGCCGCCAUCCUCAGUGCCCUUGUUCUCCCCACUCCAGAGACGGGAGACACCGAGUCAGCCAGGCGAGCAGCUGCCCAGCCAGGAUGGGCAAGCAGGGUCGGCCUUUCCUCCUGCCCUGCACAGGUGCCCCUGCAGCUGCCAGGACGCAGGGCGUUCCAGGACCCGGGCAGGAUGGCUCACUCCUGCAGAGGUGGCCAGGGCCCUAACGGCCCCCGUGUGCAGAGCCCAGCUGGCGCCCGCGAUGCCAGGCCCUGCCUGGAGCCCUCCCCAGAGAGAACCACUGGGCAAAAACAGUGGGAAGCACUCGGCAAACCUGGCAGGGCCUGGCUUGUGGCCCAGUGCCCGGGGAAAUCUAAUGAUGCUGAACCAGAGUCAUUAUCAUGGGGCGUCUGUUCUCCUGGUGUGUGUGGGGGUGGGGGGUCUGGUGCAGCUGAGAGAGGAGACAGUCUGAGACGAGAUGGCCAUGCCAGCUGGUUCAGGCUCUGGACAGACACCCUGGCCAGGCCACACCUCCCUGAAGAGCUGUUCAGGGUGCGAGGCCCUGGCCACAGCAUCGCCUCCAACUUUGAGGGCUUACUGCGCACCGUAUGCCCUGUGCUGAGGGCUUCAUGUCAUCUGCCCGGUGAAACUGUCUUGGGAGGGGUCCCCAUCCCGCACGGUGAGGACGUGAGAUGAGGAGGCUGAGAUGCUUCCUGAAGGCCGGCUCUGGGCCAGGCCAUGCUGGCAUGCCUGCCUCCAUGGAAGAAGUGCCAGGUUGGUCAGAGCCAGGGUGAUGGAAGCUGAAGGUGUACCCACUCCACCAUGGAGAGGCAUCAUGGAGCAAGGCCUAAGAGCCGUGAAGCCUGGACCUGUGGCAGCCAUCUUGUGAAGGUGAGGCAACAAUUACAGGAAAGUCAAGCUGCCCAAGAUGAUGAAGCAGAAAGGCUAUUAUGUGCACCGCCAUCAACCCUCGCAGCAACCCCAUGAAGUAGCUAGAGACCAGCAAGCUGAAGCACUGGGCGGCUGAGCAACUUUCUCACGACCACAAAGCUGGAGGGUGACAGAAUGGACUCUGACUGCAGUCCUGCUCCAGAGCCUGCACCCCGAACCCUCUCACUGGCCCCUCUGUGAGUCUGGAGCUUCCAGAGACCACUGCGGCUUGAGCAUGAGGGAAGCUGAGGCAAAGCUGAGUGGAAGACACUCGGAGAAAGAAACAGGUUUGAUAACAUUUUUUGAGCCCGAGUCAGCAAGCUUCCUCUCUGCUGACACUGCUGAGCCUCAGUCUCUGUCUGCUGAAGCUAACACUGCUGGGUGUCCCUCCACAGCACACUGGACACAGGCACUCCAGGAAGUGCCGAGGGCCGCCCUGUUCUCAGGACUGCGAGUGUCUGAGACGAACGGCCAUCCAGUCUUCUCCUGUCUUGCCGCCCCCAGCACAGCUAAGCCCCAGCCCAGCAAACAACAGGCUUCCUGUGAUCCGGUUCAACCUUCUGCCCUGGGGCAGGACCACCCCUCAUCUUCUUCCUCCAGAGCCCCAGGAGAACCCCAGGAGGUCUAAGGACCACAAUUCAGGGAUCUCCAUUCCACUCCCCCUUCUCUGGGUGCUGUCUUUUGGCCUAGACACAGGUAGGGUGGGCAGGACCUCAGGUAAUCCCAGGCCCCCUCCCCAGCCCAUCCCC